rnacentral:rRNA from 1 species
AGUGAACGCUGGCGGUAGGCCUAACACAUGCAAGUCGAACGGCAGCACAGUAAGAGCUUGCUCUUACGGGUGGCGAGUGGCGGACGGGUGAGGAAUACAUCGGAAUCUACUUUUUCGUGGGGGAUAACGUAGGGAAACUUACGCUAAUACCGCAUACGACCUACGGGUGAAAGCAGGGGAUCUUCGGACCUUGCGCGAUUGAAUGAGCCGAUGUCGGAUUAGCUAGUUUGCGGGGUAAAGCCCCACCAAGGCGACGAUCCGUAGCUGGUCUGAGAGGAUGAUCAGCCACACUGGAACUGAGACACGGUCCAGACUCCUACGGGAGGCAGCAGUGGGGAAUAUUGGACAAUGGGCGCAAGCCUGAUCCAGCCAUACCGCGUGGGUGAAGAAGGCCUUCGGGUUGUAAAGCCCUUUUGUUGGGAAAGAAAAGCAGCAGGUUAAUACCCCGCUGUUCUGACGGUACCCAAAGAAUAAGCACCGGCUAACUUCGUG